GUUUGAUCCUGGCUCAGAUUGAACGCUGGCGGCAUGCCUUACACAUGCAAGUCGAACGGCAGCACGGGGGCAACCCUGGUGGCGAGUGGCGAACGGGUGAGUAAUACAUCGGAACGUGUCCUGUAGUGGGGGAUAGCCCGGCGAAAGCCGGAUUAAUACCGCAUACGCUCUACGGAGGAAAGGGGGGGAUCUUAGGACCUCCCGCUACAGGGGCGGCCGAUGGCAGAUUAGCUAGUUGGUGGGGUAAAGGCCUACCAAGGCGACGAUCUGUAGCUGGUCUGAGAGGACGACCAGCCACACUGGGACUGAGACACGGCCCAGACUCUACGGAGGCAGCAGUGGGGAAUUUUGGACAAUGGGGGCAACCCUGAUCCAGCAAUGCCGCGUGUGUGAAGAGGCCUUCGGGUUGUAAAGCACUUUUGUCCGGAAAGAAAACGCCGUGGUUAAUACCCGUGGCGGAUGACGGUACCGAAGAAUAAGCACCGGCUAACUACGUGCCAGCAGCCGCGGUAAUACGUAGGGUGCAAGCGUUAAUCGGAAUUACUGGGCGUAAAGCGUGCGCAGGCGGUCCGCUAAGACAGAUGUGAAAUCCCCGGGCUUAACCUGGGAACUGCAUUUGUGACUGGCGGGCUAGAGUAUGGCAGAGGGGGGUAGAAUUCCACGUGUAGCAGUGAAAUGCGUAGAGAUGUGGAGGAAUACCGAUGGCGAAGGCAGCCCCCUGGGCCAAUACUGACGCUCAUGCACGAAAGCGUGGGGAGCAAGCAGGAUUAGAUACCCUGGUAGUCCACGCCCUAAACGAUGUCAACUAGUUGUCGGGUCUUCAUUGACUUGGUAACGUAGCUAACGCGUGAAGUUGACCGCCUGGGGAGUACGGUCGCAAGAUUAAAACUCAAAGGAAUUGACGGGGACCCGCACAAGCGGUGGAUGAUGUGGAUUAAUUCGAUGCAACGCGAAAAACCUUACCUACCCUUGACAUGUAUGGAAUCCUGCUGAGAGGUGGGAGUGCCCGAAAGGGAGCCAUAACACAGGUGCUGCAUGGCUGUCGUCAGCUCGUGUCGUGAGAAUGUUGGGUAAGUCCCGCAACGAGCGCAACCCUUGUCCCUAGUUGCUACGCAAGAGCACUCUAGGGAGACUGCCGGUGACAAACCGGAGAAGGUGGGGAUGACGUCAAGUCUCAUGGCCUUAUGGGUUAGGGCUUCACACGUCAUACAAUGGUCGGAACAGAGGGUCGCCAACCCGCGAGGGGGAGCCAAUCCCAGAAAACCGAUCGUAGUCCGGAUCGCACUCUGCAACUCGAGUGCGUGAAGCUGGAAUCGCUAGUAAUCGCGGAUCAGCAUGCCGCGGUGAAUACGUUCCCGGGUCUUGUACACACCGCCCGUCACACCAUGGGAGUG
rnacentral:rRNA from 1 species